rnacentral:lncRNA from 1 species
GGAUCACAAAAGCUCAUAUAUUAACUAUACAAAUUCCUUUACAUUUACAAAAUGGCUCAAAUAAAUUAUUUUCUAGUCGCUUCCCACCCACUGGUCCAGCCUAUUCUUCUAUGACAUCUUCUAAACAUGCUUAUGUUACAUUGUCUGCAUCUAGAAAAACAGAGAAAGCAAGGGUGAGUACGACAAGUCAUACUCAGCAAGUAGGUACUUCACUAUUCAACAAAGAAGAAUAGUAUGGUAGUGUAUCUCAACAGAUGAACUUGAUCCAUAGGAUAAACAAGGUAAUAAUCAUCGGAACAUAUUUUGGUGGAAAUGGACAAAAGAACAUAUAACUAGAUUUAAUGGAAACAACCAGGAAUUUAUUGGCGUCACACAUGACCGCAAGCUUCCCAACCCGGGAGUUACAGAGGUGAAAUUUCACACUUUUACGCUCUUAAGAGGGGUACUCCGACGUCGACAGCCUCGACUAGAAUCACACAGGUUCCAGAAGAGCAGAGCUCUUUAUUCCCCCAAGAACCGACCACUCGACUUACUAGUGUUGAUCGCUCCUACGGAUCCAUCAUCGACACGCUUCCGAACGAGUGCCGUUCUUAGCGGAGAACUCAGACAGUCCCAUACCUGAACUGUGACCGGUACAAUACGUUUGCCGUCGUGACACCAAUAUAGAUGGAUGUGUGUUUAAAUCAAAUAAUAGGAUCACUCAAAUACCAGUCAAAGACAAAACACUCAUGACUUUUCGUGAGUUCCUCCAAAAUACUCGGAUUCCAUCAACAAAUGGAUUAUGAGGACAACACAUCCCUUAACAAAGGAUCAACAAAGAUCAAGGUGCAACAAUAUAAUCAAGUACUCAAGGAAGACAACAAUAAGGCAUGCAGGGAGUUUAGCAAAGCAGCUACUUGCCUUAGAUAACAAGAUUCCUCCUUGGAGAUAAUAUUCUCCUAGCAAAUAAAUCCAUCAAUGUAUAAUCCAAUAGUCGUACAUAUACUAUACUAAUAUUCUCCGGACACACGGCUCAGUUCUUCACUCCAGCAGCACCUAUACGCCCCAUAUAACUCCUCCAUGUCUUGUCUCUCUCUCACUCACACGCUCUCUCUUCUUCUCACUUCUUUCGUUCUCUAGUAGAUGGUUUGAAGCUGCAACAACCAGCAGCAGGAGGUCCUAUUUAUAGGGUUGAUUGUGGGUUGAAAGCUAGCAAAAUAUCGCAGCCGCAGUGACCCUUCCAGCUGACCUUUGGAGCUGGUAAAAAGAUUUGGCUGCUGCCCCUACAACUAGUGCAAAGGCCUAAUCAACCUGGUCACCAUAGGAAGAGUCCACGUAUAGGACUAGAAUGUCCAAGAGACUACAUGCAUGCCACGCCAACCUCCAGGUACACAUAGAUUUUUACUUAGCUAGCAAGGACAGUACAUACGUGUGCAUUCUCAUUAUUACAUGCAUGCACCUAGUUGAAUAUCUACCGGUCUAUCAUUUGUACCUGGUCCAAUUCCAUCUAUUCAAAUGCCAUGUUAACCCCCUUAUAGUUAUCUACUACCACAUACAAACACCACCAUGUGAGUGCAAGGAUGCUAGACUCACGUGCACAAAUGCACACCCUAUCUGAUUGUGUGGUUAUUCCAUCUAAUUUUUAUUGCAGGGAGAAAAAUGCAUGUCUAUUAUAUUUCUUUGAAACAGUGCUCAAUCAUUUAUUUAAACAAAUAAUAUAGAUUUAAUUAUUCAUCUUAACUUAAGAACAUAAAAUAAUAACCCUAAAAAUCUGGGUUAUUACAUCUUUCCCCCCUUAUAAGAAUUUCGUCCCCGAAAUUCAACACUAACAUCUUUUUUUGGGGGAGUCAAAUUCCCUCCAAUCAUAUUUGGGACAAUUUAUUUGAUGCAUGCUCAAUAAUUACUUAGAAAUAAUGCAACCAAGAUUUGCAAUAUUUUCUAUAAUUCAUAGAUAUAUCUGCUAUAACAUAAGUUGGUAACACUAAACAUUUUAUUUGGUAAGGUCAUUAACAAACAUUAACAACAAGGAUAGAUGGUGAUAUAGUAAUUGUCCCAUUACUAGAAAAAUAUCACCGGUUGUCUUAAACAAGAAAAUCUACACAAAUAACAAGUCAUGAAUUAAUCUAGCAAAAUGUCUAUUUAUUUCCCAUGCAUCCUCAAAUUUCACCAAUAAUAUGUACGCUAUAUUUUUUAUUUCCAUGGAUAUCUGUCAACAAUAUUCGUGAGUAACAACACACAAACUAGUUGAGACAAGAUAUGAAAAUAAAAUAUUCAUACUUAUCACACAACACAAAUAUAUUCGACGAUCUACCCGUUUAUCCCAACGCAACCUAAAACCUAGAGCUCUGAUACCACUUUAACUGUCACGCCCCGAGACCGGGCCUAGGCGAGACAGCCGCCGCGCGCCUAUAGACCAGGGGCCUAUAGUCACGCAAGGCGUGAUUAAGCAGGCAUAAACCAACAGUGGAUCACAAAAGCUCAUAUAUUAACUAUACAAAUUCCUUUACAUUUACAAAAUGGCUCAAAUAAAUUAUUUUCUAGUCGCUUCCCACCCACUGGUCCAGCCUAUUCUUCUAUGACAUCUUCUAAACAUGCUUAUGUUACAUUGUCUGCAUCUAGAAAAACAGAGAAAGCAAGGGUUAGUACGACAAGUCAUACUCAGCAAGUAGGUACUUCACUAUUCAACAAAGAAGAAUAGUAUGGUAGUGUAUCUCAACAGAUGAACUUGAUCCAUAGGAUAAACAAGGUAAUAAUCAUCGAAACGUAUUUUGGUGGAAAUGGACAAAAGAACAUAUAACUAGAUUUAAUGGAAACAACCAGGAAUUUAUCGGCGUCACACAUGACCGCAAGCUUCCCAACCCGGGAGUCACAGGGGUGAAAUUUCACACUUUACGCUCUUAAGAGGGGUACUCCGACGUCGACAGCCUCAACUAGAACCACACAGGUUCCAGAAGAGCAGAGCUCUUUAUUCCCCCAAGAACCGACCACUCGACUUACUAGUGUCGAUCGCUCCUACUGAUCCAUCAUCGACACGCUUCCAACGAGUGCCGUUCUUAGCGGAGAACUCAGACAGUCCCAUACCUGAACUGUGAUCGGUACAAUACGUUUGCCGUCGUGACACCAAUAGAGAUGGGUGUGUGUUUAAAUCAAAUGAUAGGAUCAUUCAAAUACCAGUCAGAGACAAAACACUCAUGACUUUUCGUGAGUUCCUCCAAAAUACUCGGAUUCCAUCAACAAAUGGAUUAUGAGGACAACACAUCCCUUAACAAAGGAUCAACAAAGAUCAAGGUGCAACAAUAUAAUCAAGUACUCAAGGAAGACAACAAUAAGGCAUGCAGGGAGUUUAGCAAAGCAGCUACUUGCCUUAGAUAACAAGAUUCCUCCUUGGAGAUAAUAUUCUCCUAGCAAAUAAAUCCAUCAAUGUAUAAUCCAAUAGUCGUACAUAUACUAUACUAAUAUUCUCCGGACACACGGCUCAGUUCUUCACUCCAGCAGCACCUAUACGCCCCAUAUAACUCCUCCAUGUCUUGUCUCUCUCUCACUCACACGCUCUAUCUUCUUC